rnacentral:rRNA from 1 species
UACGUAGGUGGCAAGCGUUGUCCGGAUUUAUUGGGUUUAAAGGGUGCGCAGGCGGAUAUGUAAGUCAGUGGUGAAAUCUUUGGGCUUAACCCGAAAAUUGCCAUUGAUACUAUAUAUCUUGAAUGCUGUGGAGGUAAGCGGAAUAUGUCAUGUAGCGGUGAAAUGCUUAGGGAUGACAUAGAACACCUAUUGCGAAGGCAGCUUACUACGCAGAUAUUGACGCUCAUGCACGAAAGCGUGGGGAUCAAACAGG